rnacentral:misc_RNA from 1 species
GCCUCUUCUUUACAUUUAUUACGAUUCUUUCUCCACGAAUAUUGUAAUUUGAAUAGUCUUAUUACUUCAAAGAAGCCCGGUUACUCCUUUUCAAAAAAAAAUCAAAGAUUCUUCUUCUUCUUAUAUAAUUCUUAUGUAUAUGAAUGCGAAUCCACUUUCGUCUUUCUACGGAACCAAUCUUCUCAUUUACGAUCAACAUCUUUUGGAGCCCUUCUUGAACGAAUAUAUUUCU